rnacentral:rRNA from 1 species
CGGACGGGUGAGUAAUGCCUGGGAAACUGCCUGAUGGAGGGGGAUAACUACUGGAAACGGUAGCUAAUACCGCAUAACGUCGCAAGACCAAAGAGGGGGACCUUCGGGCCUCUUGCCAUCAGAUGUGCCCAGAUGGGAUUAGCUAGUAGGUGGGGUAACGGCUCACCUAGGUGACGAUCCCUAGCUGGUCUGAGAGGAUGACCAGCCACACUGGAACUGAGACACGGUCCAGACUCCUACGGGAGGCAGCAUG